rnacentral:lncRNA from 1 species
CUUUUCCAUUAUGAUUCACCUCAGGAUAAUGGAUCAUAUUUCCCGGUGCUCUAUCAUAGGACCUUGCUAUUUAUCCCUGCCAUGAGAUGAAGCAUUUUAAAUACAGACAUAAUUUCUGUGUGAUUUUUAUUAGAGCUUAGUUGGGAAUGGUUCAGACACCUCUCACCCAAAUGCAUUUUUUAGGAACUAGGAACGCAAACUUUCUGUGACCUGGGGACAGUCUGUCCCAGUAACAGAAGCUGGGGGUGAAAGUGAUGGAUCUCUUCUCCAUGGGCGCCCUUUAAGCCUCAUGGGCUUGGAGGGAUCAAGGAGAAUUCAGCCUGAUCCUUAGACUGUUGAGUUCUUUACAAGAACUGAGCAUGACGGUUAUUUAAAUGUCAACGGAAAAAAACGGGUUCUGUCUCAACAACACGAACUUUCUCCUUUCUUCCCUUUGGCCCAGGAAUUGCAACCGUGCCGAACGCCACCUUUAAUUGGAACACCUUUCUUCAGCAUUCAGAGAUUAACCAAAGUGCUGACAGUCUACACGUGUUUCUCCUGAUCUGUGGACUCAGACAAGUGAAAGACCCUCUCUACUUGGUGGAGGCAUUCUCGGAAUGGCAUCAGGAAGAGCCCAACGUUUACAUGGUAAUCGUCGGUCCUGAAGUCGAUCCAGUGUUCACAAGGGAAGUCAAAGCCAAAGUCAAGAGG